AUUUAGAGACCUUGAGUCCUUGCUCUUGGAGCAGGUGCCAGGUGUGAACAGGAUAUGCCAAGGUUUCAUUAUAUAGCUCAGUGCUUUCCAGGCUCUCUCUUUUGGAGGCCAGCUCCAGAUGACUCAAAGGUAUCAUCCUAUCUAAUGAAUUAGAAUAAAGCAGCAACUCAAAAUCUGGUGAAAACUCCAGAAGUCCUUUGAAGUCUACGACCAAGAUUGAAGGCACUGAUGUGCAGUGGAAGAGCUUGGGCUAACUGGCUAACUUCAAAACUAAGAUUGCCAAGAUGGGCAGAGCUGGGGAGCCCUGGAAGGCACUGGAGUCAGCCCAAUCCUGCUGUCCAGCAGGUCACUCACAUAUCUCGUGUCCCGGGGGUUCUGGUGCUCAUGUGCAUGGAGCUGUGAGAAGGUGGAGCUGAGAAAAGAGGCAGCAAACAUUACCAUGGCUAGGUUGUUGGAUGUGGUCCAGCUACUGUUUUCUGGGCAAAAAAAAAAAAUUUUCUUCAGUGGCUGUGGUUCUGCUUUAUGAUCUUAUACUUGAAAAGUACUUUAUGACCAUUAUUUGGUGCAACAUGGUGUGCAGAGCCUGGGGAUUCAGAGACAGGUGGUACGUCUAUGCUGCAGAGCACAGAGCUAGGCGAGUAAACAGCAGGGGUCCUGGAGGCAGAAAAUUGUCUGUUAGACAUUUAUUUGCUGCAGUUCAUAUAACAGUGCUGGUGCAUCUACAUGUUGUUCUGGAACUAGUCCUGUUCAACUCACAUCCUAGAGAUUGGGCAGGCCCUUGUCUGAGAGAUUUCUCUGCAAACUUACUAAGUGCUUUUUAUUCCUCCCUGCCUCAUCCCAGUCUCAGAAGUGUGAGUCAUUAAAGAUGCUCAAGCCUUGAACGCUAUGGGGAGAAAAGUCUAGAGCUGUAUGGAAAUGGAUUGUGAGGACAUGGAAAUAAUCUCCUUCACAGCAUCUCUGCUGUCACCACAUCUCUUGGGGAUUCCUUUUCCCAUCCAUGGUUCACUGAGUGUACGCCAUCUGCUAGGGGAUGUUCUGGGGAAGCUCCUGGUGCCCAAGGCUGUGCUGUUCUCCUGCAACAUGGUGGGAGUUAGUAUUUUUAGUUGCAUUUCUUGGUUGAGAAAUCACUGAUGGGAAGAACAUGCGCUGGUUACAAGCAAUACAUGCUGAAAAGUAAGGAUUGUGAAGGAUCUCAAAUUGCUUAAAUCUAUUCAUGUGUGUAUAUUUCAGAUACAUGCUUCAUUAUGUCCCUGGAUUCCUGGUCAGUGUCUCUGAGAUAAUUGUCUGGUCUUUGCUACCACUGUUCUAGCAUGACAUCAGGCAGCAAAAUAGAGCAGUUGGAGACCUUUCUCUGUUGUCUGGCAGUUUGACACCUGGACACACUGAGAUCCCAGAAGAGUUCUGUGUUUGGAGACUGGGUCUGAGCAAAGAGACCUCUCUCUUCUUUCUUCAGAUGAAGAGACCUUGUAUAUGUGCUUGAAAUGGGAAGUACACAAAUCUCAGAAUUGUGUCAAUUAUUUUUAAUGAAUUCCAGUUAAUGCAUGUGCAAUUGGGUCUAAACCUGGAAUAUAGGCAUGAGCCUAUAUGUGUGUGUUCAAGCAUGGUAGCAUUGGUCAAAACUCUGUGGUUCCUGACUACCAGGCUUAGUUGUAACCAACUGAGCUCCAGCCCAGCUCCAGUUGCACAUAGCCUGAAUUUCUGAGCACAGGAAAUCUAAAGAUGGAACAAGACCUUUACAUUGAAGUCUGCCAGCACCUGUGGGAGUAAAUGGAGAAGGCUGUCUCCUAGCACAGUCCAGAUGCGUUGCAAGUCAUGAAAUAGUCCUGUCUCUUGAAAUUUCCAGCCUGAUCUGGAGACUGGUGCCUUCCUGAUGUAAUGGUAGUGACAGUCACCAGCAGCUGUAUGCUUCGAUGUCCACUCGCAUCAAAUGCUACACCUAGAUUGCAUUCUGGUAGGCAGUCUUUAACAGCACUGAGAUGGGCUGUGAUAACAAGGCUUUAACAGAUUUGUAAAACUGCUGCCCUAUUCAUAACUGCCAUGCAGUCUUAGAAUGCCAGGUAUUUCUUCUUGUAAGGUACUGUUUUCCGAGUCCUCAUAUGUGCCCUUAUAUUCAGAUAGGCCACACAUCUGUACACUACUUCAGGACUGAUUGUUAUUGGGGUGUGUGUGUGUUCUCUUUGUUUUCUAUCACAGGGCCUUCAAGGAAUCCCUUUGAUAUACUAGGUAAUCUUUUUGUAAAGGGGAGAGGACAGCUGUGGCCAGAGGACACUGUUUCACAUCUGUUCAGGUUCACCUGUAGGUUGCCCACAGAGGGUAUUUCUUAUCGUAUGCAAGCUGUGUACCUGCUCUAUUCUCUACAGACCCAAGUGAGUUAUAUUCAUCUCAGAUGAUUUCCAGAAGGCUGGUUGUGCCUAUCUGGACUUCUGAUGUCAGGAAAGGAGAAAACAAAGUUAAGCCUUUAAACAGGAGCAAAACAAAUUUAUGACUCCUCUGAAACUCUGUAAGAAAGAGGAGAUGAGGGGAAGGAACAAUGAUUAAAGUAAAUUUGCAGUCUCAUUUAAUAAGUUAUUACUGGGUUGGGGAAAAGCUGGCAGAAUAACAUUUCUGAAGCCUUUAAAACAAUUCCAGCUUGAUGGGAAAACCUCUGAGCCUUCCAGGAAUAAAUCCUGUGCUAACAAGGAUGCUAUAUUUUAUUUCCUUCUGGUAAUAUCUAUGGACAAAUCAAGAACAGAGCCCCACUGUGCUGUGAGCUGUACAGAGUCGAGGUGGUUCAGAAGAGUCCCCCAGGGAAGGAGACAGUGAAGGGGUGAGAUGAGAUAAGCAGAAAGCAUGUAGGAGACAAGGAGGAAAAUGAGUAGCACC